UAGGGUUGAGGCAGGGCUGGGUGAUAUGGGAAACAGUUUAUCACAAUAUAUAUUUUUCACAUCUGUCAAUAUCGAUAUAUGUCACAAUAUAAUAGAAUCCAUGGUCAAUCUUACAUGUUCCCUGUUACUCUUGGGCAUAACUGGACACGAUUUGCAGUGCACAUUACUCUACUUCAUGUCCGAUGUCAAAAAACCCCAAAUACCUCCAUACCACCGACGUUUUCGUGCCAGUGUUGUCGAUGAUGUCAUCAUCAGUUGACCAUUCAUCUACAUUUCUACUGGGGGUAGCACGCAUUUUCUUUUUUUCUGCUACUACGCAGUUGUUUGCUACUUGGUUCUGAUUCAGCACAUGGUUGGUUUAGCGUGAAGUAGACCCGGAGCAACUCCCCUUUUCAUUGGCUAUUCAUAUAGUUUACCAAAACAUGGCAGAAUGCCGACUAUUGAAAAGCAUAUUGACCAUAUUUAAUAUUGAUAUCAAGGGAAAUUAAUUUCCGAUAUAUAUCAUUAUUGUUUUAUCCACCAGUCCUAGGUUGAGGUCAUUCUUUUUAAUCCUCAAGACCUCCACAUUGAGUACUGAUUAAGAUCACCAUCUACCUUAGCACGAAAAACCGAUGGGUCAUCAUAUCAUAAUUAUUUAUUAUAAUAAUCAUAAUGAGUUAAACAACACUAACUUAAUGCAAUAAAACAAGUCCUAAUAAAUUGAACAAUUGGACAAGGCACUAGCAUGAGAAGCAUGCUGCAGGUUCAGACUUUUCAAGAACUGAAAUGAAUAAAACACAAAUACAAGCACAACACUGUAGCACUCAGAAGGCGUCUAGACCAAACAAUGAUUGAGGACAUGAGGUCUUGGCUGAACAAAUCCUGGAGAGUGCUUCCUUUCUAAUCUGGCUCUUGACCAUUUUAAUCCUGCGUUCUCCAUUCACACGUACAGCACAUACAGUCAGAAAGCUGUGGAUAUCGUCAGAGAGUGGCGGUAAAGGCAUUUCCAUGUGAAUGAGCGUCUGGCCUUUAGGUAGAGACGUCCUGAAUGUGUUUGAAGUUUUCAGCUCUCCUUGGCUGUCAGUUACAGGAGAAAGGCCUCUCAGUGACUAAUCCAGUUUACUUUGUGCCUGUCUGUGGAGGAGAGAAUCUGGCAUGACACCAAACGCCACUCAAUGGAUGCUUUUCCAAACAAAGGCAGCAAAAAUGGCUCCUCGUUUCCUGCUUGACAAGUGCAUUGAAUCCUCCUCGUCUUUCAUAUAUUUGUGGAGAGCAUGGUUUGAAUCUGACCCUGUUGCCAUGGUUGCAGCUCCUGUAUGGGGCUGGACAUGUGUUUACUGUAUGCAUUAUGGUAUGCAGAGAAAAAAGAGGGCGGGCUGGAGAGCUGGUGCCACAUUCAAGUGUGUGAGACUUUGUGUGUUUUUUAAGCUGGGCAGUUGUCUGCUGCUCGUCUUAGGGAAAUACUGAGAAUAGGAGGCUGUAUGGAGGGAUGGCCAUCAACAACUCAAACCCUAAUUGGACGGGACGUUUCAUGGACGCAAAGUAGCCGCUGGCUUGUGGUCGGACCACAUUUGUGUGUUUCUGCUAACAGGGAUUCUGCCUUUUGUAGAGCUGAGUGAAUGUAAGUGCCAGGGGCAAAACUGUCCUUGAAUAUGGAGGCAACAAAUGCCCUGGAUGAUUCUGGAAUUCAGAGAUUAUACAUCGUCAUAAUGAAGGUUAGCAUCAUGUACAAUAAAGGUCAUCUGUUGUGGGAGCACAUAGUUGAGGACAAACGUUUCUGCUCAGGGAAGUAAACAGAGCUAGAUUGAAGAAACAUGGGCUGGCACUAUGAGAAAUACUCAUCCCAGAUGACUGCAUCAACAAAAAGAAAAGUAAAUAAGAUUAAAUAAAAAUAAAACUAUCAACAAAGUAAAACAUUCAGUGAGAGCAGUCAAUGUGAAACAGCUUUAGUUUCCAAGAAGGCAAAGAAACCUAAUAGAAAAAUGUUUGCAAUAAAAAUGGAAUAAUUACUUGCUGUUUUGCAAAGCAUGAGCAUUUUUUCAGAACUGCAUAACAUUUCCUGAAACUGUAUGCAACUGCAUGAGGAUGACCUGGCCUGCUUACUUUUGUGCUUUUUGGGUGUUCUCAUUUUAUGCCACUGACCGCUUGUGCAGACUUCAUCUGGAUGUGACAGUUUUCAUGACAUCAGCACUGUGAUUCUCGGGGAAAAAGGCAGGCUAAUGGCACCCCUUGCUCUACCCUCCUCCUUUAAUAGUCCCACGGCGAUGCAGAAUUGAGGGGUCAGUAACAAAUUGACAAGUCUUAUUUUGUUGAGGUUCCCUGAAGCCAAGAUGACUUGGAGGGAAAGAGGAGAUAAAUUGAAAACACCAGAGUUACAUGGCAGAGUUUUAAAGAACAUGCUUCUCUGUUGAGCGUUUCAGCUUUGGCAAAUUACAGUCGAUUUGGCUCAAACACAUCUUGCAGUUAAGGCCUUGGUAGUUACAAUUCUGCAAACAGCAGCAUUUUGUUAGGUUGGCUCUUUGUUGAAGCUGGAGUUUGUUCUGCUCUGAGGCGAUUCACUCUGCAAAACCUGCACAGUCAAAUGAGAAAGGAUGCCGUCUUUGUAAUGUAAAUUUCUUAUGGGCUCUGAAGGCUUAAUGGGCUGUAUGUCUGGCACAUCAGGAACAAAUCUGUUGGCUUUGGCACACGCACAUAACUUUAUUUAAACGCCUCACAGAGACACAGCAAACAGUAAUGUUGUGGUUUCUCAGUUUCUCAAUGUAAACUUAGAAACAAGCUGUGGAUCGAAGCCAGGCCUGGAGCAAAGGAAGGAUUGGAUCCUCAGAGUGUUGGGAUAGAGCAGAGGUCAUGACCCCAGCAGAUUGAACAGCCAGUAUCAGCGGGAGUCCUCCGCACAGCUCCCAGUCUGGCCAAAACUCAUAGUCUGGAAGGUGGGACGCAGACAGCACUUUCUCUUCAAACUACAACAGUUGACGGAGUGUUUGGGCUUCCAUAGCCAACAUAAUCCUGCACCAGACAGAGAAAGCCUGUUUCUGGAUAGGUGUUUGCAGCCCGAUUGUCCUGCCAAAAGAACUUGAAGGUUUACGCUGCUUUGGUGUGUUGGGUGAUUUGAAUCAGGGGCUAAUGACUGUCGCCAUGGUUAAAUAUUAACAAAAGCCAACACUUCAAUGUUGUUCAAGCUGAGGUUACUCAUCUGUGUGUCUAAUUUUAACUACACUACACGAAACUCAUUCUCGUUUCAAUAAAUGCUGAGAAGCAACACUUAGCUGUGAAUAGCACGUACCAGAAUGAAUGUGGGGCAAACUGGACCAUUAAUUCCUGCUGCACUUUAAACUAAGAGGAAACUUGUGAAUGGAAAUCUUCAACAACAAAAGACCUACAGUCAGUGUUGGGGGAGUUUCUUACUGAAUGUUUCCAAUUGUUCAACAAAUAUCUUGUAAAUAGGCAUUUAACAUGAUUUGUUUGGACUCAUCAAUUGUGAAUCCCAUUCAAUUGAUGAUUUGCUACUUAAAAAAGUCUGAAUUGGCUUUUCACAACUCUAGACCCAAGGAUCAAGCUGGUAGACUGAAGUAAUGGUGCAUUUUCACCAGGGUAUAAUGUACAAUUAUGUGCACUGCCAUUGUUAGAAGUUAAGAAAGGUACCCAAAUAAACAUCCCCACUCCGUUCCUGUAGAGUAGCAUAUCAAUCUGACUCAAACUACAAUGACUGUUAUCCUUGGUGAAAACAGACCAUAUAAGGGCAUUUACACAGAGGCUUCAUAUUAAUAUAAUAUAUUAAUGACUUAUAUAUUAAGUCAUUCUGUCUCUCAAACCUCUUUCCCUGCUUUUACUGGGUGGCAGUGUGAUGCUAAUUUCUGACCACCAACAGUUAGCUCAGCUAGCUUAGACUGCUCAAAGCCUUCAGUCUUAAAGGACUAAGUCGAAUAGUCCCAAGUAGUGGCUUAACACUGGUGUUGGCAACAGGACACUUUUAUUAGGACAUGUUUCUCCUGGUUGUAAGCCAGCUGCCCUCUGGUUCAUAGAGCCCUUAACGGAAGGCUAGCAUGUCCUGACAAGUUAUCGUGCUGUAUGCAUCUAGAGUAAAAGGUUUUCAACAAUCACAUUAUAUUCAAAGUAAGACAGAAAACAGGCUCUUCAAAUGUGAUGUACUUCAGAACCAGAAUUACUUAAUCAAUUGCCAUGCUUUUCUUGAAUUUCUUGAGUUUAGGUUGGUUUAAGGCCCCUUUACUGUCAGUGGAUUCAAUAAUUUGGGGAUCAUUUUUGGGGAUUUGGCCCUAGUGACCAACUGCUACAGGGUCGUAGGACUUGCAUGUGAGACUCAUCUCUAGAGUAAUGCUAAUAACUUGGAUUUGUACAUAGAUGUAAAGAUGUUGAUGCCAUCUCUGGGAAGUUUGAAUGCUGAAGGGAAAAUGUUUGUAUUAUAAAAUACUUGAUGUGAACACAUCUAUGUCAAACAUCUCAGUAUAAAUCUCACAUAAAUGUCAAUCUGAA